AGAGUUCGAUCAUGGCUCAGGAUGAACGCUAGCGACAGGCUUAACACAUGCAAGUCGAGGGGCAGCACAGGUAGCAAUACCGGGUGGCGACCGGCGCACGGGUGAGUAACACGUAUCCAACCUGCCGUCUACUCUUGGACAGCUUUCUGAAAGGAAGAUUAAUACAAGAUGGCAUCAUGAGUUCGCAUGUUCACAUGAUUAAAGGUAUUCCGGUAGACGAUGGGGAUGCGUUCCAUUAGAUAGUAGGCGGGGUAACGGCCCACCUAGUCUUCGAUGGAUAGGGGUUCUGAGAGGAAGGUCCCCCACAUUGGAACUGAGACACGGUCCAA
rnacentral:rRNA from 1 species